UGGUGGGUAGUUUGACUGGGGCGGUCUCCUCCCAAAGCGUAACGGAGGAGCACGAAGGUUAGCUAAUCCUGGUCGGACAUCAGGAGGUUAGUGCAAUGGCAUAAGCUAGCUUGACUGCGAGCGUGACGGCGCGAGCAGGUGCGAAAGCAGGUCAUAGUGAUCCGGUGGUUCUGAAUGGAAGGGCCAUCGCUCAACGGAUAAAAGGUACUCCGGGGAUAACAGGCUGAUACCGCCCAAGAGUUCAUAUCGACGGCGGUGUUUGGCACCUCGAUGUCGGCUCAUCACAUCCUGGGGCUGAAGUAGGUCCCAAGGGUAUGGCUGUUCGCCAUUUAAAGUGGUACGCGAGCUGGGUUUAGAACGUCGUGAGACAGUUCGGUCCCUAUCUGCCGUGGGCG
rnacentral:rRNA from 1 species